rnacentral:rRNA from 1 species
GAUGAACGCUGGCGGCGUGCCUAAUACAUGCAAGUCGAGCGAACAGAUAAGGAGCUUGCUCCUUUGACGUUAGCGGCGGACGGGUGAGUAACACGUGGGUAACCUACCUAUAAGACUGGAAUAACUCCGGGAAACCGGGGCUAAUGCCGGAUAACAUUUAGAACCGCAUGGUUCUAAAGUGAAAGAUGGUUUUGCUAUCACUUAUAGAUGGACCCGCGCCGUAUUAGCUAGUUGGUAAGGUAACGGCUUACCAAGGCAACGAUACGUAGCCGACCUGAGAGGGUGAUCGGCCACACUGGAACUGAGACACGGUCCAGACUCCUACGGGAGGCAGCAGUAGGGAAUCUUCCGCAAAGGGCGAAAGCCUGACGGAGCAACGCCGCGUGAGUGAUGAAGGUCUUCGGAUCGUAAAACCCUGUUAUUAGGGAAGAACAAAUGUGUAAGUAACUGUGCACGUCUUGACGGUACCUAAUCAGAAAGCCACGGCUAACUACGUG